AGCGUAGACGGUGUGGCAAGUCUGAUGUGAAAGGCAUGGGCUCAACCUGUGGACUGCAUUGGAAACUGUCAUACUUGAGUGCCGGAGGGGUAAGCGGAAUUCCUAGUGUAGCGGUGAAAUGCGUAGAUAUUAGGAGGAACACCAGUGGCGAAGGCGGCUUACUGGACGGUAACUGACGUUGAGGCUCGAAAGCGUGGUGAGCAAACA
rnacentral:rRNA from 1 species